UACGUAGGGGGCAAGCGUUGUCCGGAAUCAUUGGGCGUAAAGCGCGUGUAGGCGGCUAGGUAAGUCUGCUCUGAAAGCCCGGGGCUCAACCCCGGGAGGCGGGUGGAUACUGUCGAGCUCGAGUCCGGAAGAGGAGUGUGGAAUUCCUGGUGUAGCGGUGAAAUGCGCAGAUAUCAGGAGGAACACCAAUGGCGAAGGCAGCACUCUGGGACGUGACUGACGCUGAGACGCGAAAGCGUGGGGAGCAAACAGG
rnacentral:rRNA from 1 species